rnacentral:miRNA from 1 species
AGUUUCGGAUGAUAAUGAUAAUGAUGAUGAUGAUCAUUAUCAUUAUCAUUAUCAAUG